GAUGAACGCUGGCGGCGUGCCUAAUACAUGCAAGUCGAGCGAAUGGAUUGAGAGCUUGCUCUUAUGAAGUUAGCGGCGGACGGGUGAGUAACACGUGGGUAACCUGCCCAUAAGACUGGGAUAACUCCGGGAAACCGGGGCUAAUACCGGAUAACAUUUUGAACCGCAUGGUUCGAAAUUGAAAGGCGGCUUCGGCUGUCACUUAUGGAUGGACCCGCGUCGCAUUAGCUAGUUGGUGAGGUAACGGCUCACCAAGGCAACGAUGCGUAGCCGACCUGCGAGGGUGAGCGGCCACACUGGGACUGAGACACGGCCCAGACUCCUACGGGAGGCAGAAGUAGGGAAUCUUCCGAAAUGGACGAAAGUCUGACGGAGCAACGCCGCGUGAGUGAUGAAGGCUUUCGGGUCGUAAAACUCUGUUGUUAGGGAAGAACAAGUGCUAGUUGAAUAAGCUGGCACCUUGACGGUACCUAACCAGAAAGCCACGGCUAACUACGUGCCAGCCGCCGCAGUAA
rnacentral:rRNA from 1 species